rnacentral:snRNA from 1 species
AGCUUUGCGCAGUAUCAGUAUUGUAGCCAAUGAGGUUUAUCCGAGGCGCAAUUAUUGCUAAUAGAAAUUUGAAACUAUAAACAAAAACAACAUAUCUCCCUAUUUUGAUUGUGAUAUCCAGUCAGAAGAAAAAAAUUACUGCUCUGAGAUACUGAUU